rnacentral:rRNA from 1 species
GACGAACGCUGGCGGCGUGCUUAACACAUGCAAGUCGAACGGAAAGGCCCUGCUUUUGUGGGGUGCUCGAGUGGCGAACGGGUGAGUAACACGUGAGUAACCUGCCCUUGACUUUGGGAUAACUUCAGGAAACUGGGGCUAAUACCGGAUAGGAGCUCCUGCUGCAUGGUGGGGGUUGGAAAGUUUCGGCGGUUGGGGAUGGACUCGCGGCUUAUCAGCUUGUUGGUGGGGUAGUGGCUUACCAAGGCUUUGACGGGUAGCCGGUCUGAGAGGGUGACCGGCCACAUUGGGACUGAGAUACGGCCCAGACUCCUACGGGAGGCAGCAGUGGGGAAUAUUGCACAAUGGGCGGAAGCCUGAUGCAGCAACGCCGCGUGCGGGAUGACGGCCUUCGGGUUGUAAACCGCUUUCGCCUGUGACGAAGCGUGAGUGACGGUAAUGGGUAAAGAAGCACCGGCUAACUACGUGCCAGCAGCCGCGGUGAUACGUAGGGUGCGAGCGUUGUCCGGAUUUAUUGGGCGUAAAGGGCUCGUAGGUGGUUGAUCGCGUCGGAAGUGUAAUCUUGGGGCUUAACCCUGAGCGUGCUUUCGAUACGGGUUGACUUGAGGAAGGUAGGGGAGAAUGGAAUCCCUGGUGGAGCGGUGGAAUGCGCAGAUAUCAGGAGGAACACCAGUGGCGAAGGCGGUUCUCUGGGCCUUUCCUGACGCUGAGGAGCGAAAGCGUGGGGAGCGAACAGGCUUAGAUACCCUGGUAGUCCACGCUGUAAACGGUGGGUACUAGGUGUGGGGUCCAUUCCACGGGUUCCGUGCCGUAGCUAACGCUUUAAGUACCCCGCCUGGGGAGUACGGCCGCAAGGCUAAAACUCAAAGGAAUUGACGGGGCCCCGCACAAGCGGCGGAGCAUGCGGAUUAAUUCGAUGCAACGCGUAGAACCUUACCUGGGUUUGAUAUGGAUCGGGAGUGCUCAGAGAUGGGUGUGCCUCUUUUGGGGUCGGUUCACAGGUGGUGCAUGGCUGUCGUCAGCUCGUGUCGUGAGAUGUUGGGUUAAGUCCCGCAACGAGCGCAACCCUUGUUCACUGUUGCCAGCACGUUAUGGUGGGGACUCAGUGGAGACCGCCGGGGUCAACUCGGAGGAAGGUGGGGAUGACGUCAAGUCAUCAUGCCCCUUAUGUCCAGGGCUUCACGCAUGCUACAAUGGCUGGUACAGAGAGUGGCGAGCCUGUGAGGGUGAGCGAAUCUCGGAAAGCCGGUCUCAGUUCGGAUUGGGGUCUGCAACUCGACCUCAUGAAGUCGGAGUCGCUAGUAAUCGCAGAUCAGCAACGCUGCGGUGAAUACGUUCCCGGG